GUAUACACAGUGGUCAAGCCACUGUGGAUUCACGGUGGAUACACCGCGUAAUCACAGUGGAUACACUGUGUAUACCGGUGGUGAAAUGGAACAAACCCACUGUGUAACCACGGUGGAUCCACGGUGUUUACACUUAUACGGUGUUUCCACCGUGAUUCAAAUUUGCGAGGGAACUGAAUGUAUUAUUAUAUAUGUAUUUGCACAUUUAUUACAUAAAGUCAUUUUUUUUAUUGAUAAUUUUAAAUACGGAAAUCUAAAAAAUGUUAAUUACCUGGAUAAUUUUAUUAUUUUUAUUGUGUGUCGACAAAGGUAAGUGACCAAAUUUUAUAUCUUUCUUCAAUGAUACUUGUUUAAUAAAUUAGCGUCAUUAUAUAUUGUUACACGAGUAAACAAAUGCCGAUCGGCUUUUGUUUCUUUCUAGAAUAAUUUUAUUUUAUUUAGUUUAUAAACAAUUGAAAUGCUAUUUAUUAAGCAUUAGUCUGUGUCCAUUAUUGUUAAUCGUCGCACCGUUAAAAUUUACAAUCUUCAUAUUUAUUCAGUUCGAACACAAAGUGAAAUCUUAUUAAUUAGAAUCACUAAAUUUAUUAUUUAAUGGCAGGUAUUAUCAAGGAAAAUGGAUACUCGUAUUUUAUUGAGCGAACUAUCGGUGAUCGAAAAUAUGUUCAUUGCCAACUGAGGUUGACCCAGCGAUGUCCGGCUCGAGGAAUCAAAGAUGAAAAUGGUCCCAUAGUGUUAAGUCGUGGGCACCAACAUGCUGGACGUCUUCAAAGGAACCUGGUGAGGGAAAGAUUUAAAAAUGAGUUAAUAACAGCAGCAACCCGAUCAUUCCUACCGUUGCGCCAAGUGUACGGUGAAGUAGCUGCACUAUAUCGUGAAAAUGUUACCGGAUUACUACGAUUUUUAUUAGCACAACUACUUCAAUACUGCCGCAAAUCAAUGACACUAGUUUAUUGACGUACAUCGUAGCUAAAUACAAUAACAAUGUUUUUCCAAUAAUUACUAUACUCUGGUCUACUAGAACUCACGAAACUUGUAAUGAAGUGAUGAAUCAAAUCAAAAGAGUAUUUUUACCUAUGGAAAAUUUAAAUAUUUACGCUGACUUUGAUUUGAAAUCUAACAUUCAAAUUGCGUAUCCGGAAGCUCAAGUAAUAGGCACUUAUGAUAGUUUUUGCCGAAUUUUACAUCAACAAGCAUUAAAUUUGGGUAUCGAUUUACAAAAUGAACAUCAUACAAAAUUUGUUAAACAAACAAUGAGCACUAUUCUUUUGCCUGGGCAUAUGGUCUUAGAUAGAUUUUUACAAUCGGUAGAGACAUUAAACCCUGCAGUUCGUCUUCAUUUUCAGCCGUUCAUAAACUACUUUGAAAAUGAUUGGAUUAGAAACGUUAACUUUGACGCAUUAAGUCUGUUUGGUGUUUCAGCUGGUAUUACAAAUGUACCUGUAUUAGCUGUACGAGAUUUCCAAUACCACUUAGGAAGAAAUCCGACAGCGUGGGAUUUAAUUAAAAAGUAUAUAUUACUAAUGAUCUUCGCAAAUAAUGAUUUGAGAAGAUUACAAAAGAAUCCUGUCGUUGUAAUAUCUCGUUUUCCGAGAGCUAAUAACUUAUGCCUUGAAAAACCGUUAGUGGAACGUAUGUGGAGGCUGUUGACACGUGAACAAUUGGCUGUAAAUGCAUUUCUACAGAGAAUGGUUCCUGUUCAAGAUUUAUAUUAAAAUGAUUUAACUUAUACUGCAGAGUUAUAAUUAGAGGGACAACUAAUCGUCAAUAUAGAGCAAAUAAAUGAUUUAGUACAAAAUGCUGCCAUUCAAAGUGAUGAACUGAAUGCUAAUCAGCAAGCUGAAGAUGCUAAUAUUCCAGUAGAAAAUAAUGAGCUGAUGGUUUGUUCCCUAUGUGAUACAAAUCCUGUGCAAAUUGUUUGUUUGGCGUGCUUACACAUCCAAAUGUGCCGUCAAUGUUCCGAACAUGUAAGGGAUGCAGCAAAUCUUCAAGGGUUAAGAAUAAAAUGUACAUUUUGCAAUGUAGCCGCUAGAUUUAGAGAAGGACAAUUCCAGAUAAACCCCAACAAUAAUGAGUUUCCAUUGAUGGUAUGUGAAUUAUGUACUCGCCAUCCGAUUACUAUCGUGUGCUUGCCAUGUUUACAUAUUCGUAUGUGUGAACAAUGUUGUCAAGAAGCCACAGCUGGUGGAAAUAGGAACUGUCCUAUUUGCGGCCAACGUGCUGAAUUUCAAAGAGGAUAUUUCCCAUAAGUAUACAACAACCAUAAAUAUGCAACAAUAACGUUUCUUACAUUUAUGUAUUAACUUGUACGUGCAAAGCUUGAAAUUAAUUUCAAAAUUUUUGAAAAUAUAGUGACGCAAGCAAAUAAGUAGUUUGAAAAUAUUUCAAAAGUUAUUUACAUAAUAAAAUAAAUAAUAAUGUUUAUUAAUAUAUGUAUCAUAUUGAAAAAAGGUAAUGACCGAAGAAAGUAAUGAUAUUUGGGAAGAAUUAGCAGAUAUACUGUCUUUGUAAGCGUCAUUUAUCGCUAAAUAAUAUUAUUUGUUUAUUUAUAAAAAUUGGCGCGUAAAAAUUAAGUAAUGUAACAAUUCUGAUGAGUAUGAUCUUAAAUAAGUCAUGCAAUUGUAAGGGUAAUUUAAAGUUAAACAAUUUUUCUUUAUUUACAUUAUAAUUUGUGCGUACAAGUUUGAUGAUUUAAUAAUUUGGAUGAGUAUGAUCUUCAAUAACUGAUAUAAUUGCAAGCGUAAUUUUAAGCCAAAUAAUAUUUUUGUAUUAUAUAUUAAUAUGUACGUAUAAGUUUUUUAAUUUAAUAAAUUUGAUAAGUGUGUCAUUUUGAUACUCAUACUAUUAUUCGCGUCAUUUUAAAGCUAAAAAAUUUUUUAAAAUGAUGUAUUACUUUUUAUCUA